AACGCACGAGACCUGCGGACCUGCGGAGGGAUCAUUAAUGAGAAACUGCCCCUCGCGGGUAGAUCUCCCACCCUUUGUAAACUUACCUUUGUUGCUUUGGCAGGCCCGUCUCCGGACCGCUGGCUUCGGCUGGCCAGUGCCUGCCAGAGGAUUCUAAAACUCUGUCUGUCAGUGUUGUCUGAGUCUAUAUACAAUCGUUAAAACUUUUAACAAUGGAUCUCUAGAUCGGAAGAGCACACG
rnacentral:misc_RNA from 1 species